GGUCUAUUAGUCUAGUUGGUUAGGACGUCGGACUCUGAUUCCGUAAGCCCAGGUUCGAAUCCUGGAUGGAUCU
rnacentral:tRNA from 1 species